GAUGAAAACGUAGCGAAAUGCGAUAAGUAGUGUGAAUUGCAGAAUUCAGUGAAUCAUCGAAUCUUUGAACGCACAUUGCGCCCUUUGGUAUUCCUUAGGGCAUGCCUGUUCGAGCGUCAUUUAAACCUUCAAGCUAAGCUUGGUGUUGGGUGACUGUCCGCUUCACGGCGGACUCGCCUCAAAAUUAUUGGCGGCCGGUACAUUGGCUUCGAGCGCAGCAGAAACGCGAACUCGGGCCCGUCGUAUUGGCUCCCAGAAGCUAUCUUCACAAUUUUGACCUCGGAUCAGGUAGGGAUACCCGCUGAACUUAAGCAUAUCAAUAAGCGGAGGA
rnacentral:misc_RNA from 1 species